AGAUUAAUUGUAUUCCAGGUACAUAAGGUAUUCAGAAAGAGAGCUUUCAGGCUGGGCAUCGAGACAAACUUUACUCUGAUAUUGCUACAGUCAGACAAGAGUUUGGAUCAGUGGUUGAGCUGUUAUCCAUGAACCCUGAGGAUCUGUGGAUUACUUCAACAGCAGCUAAGAAAGAGGAAGAAAACUCAACAUGUAUCAGAGCAAGACAUGAAUGUUCACAAGCCAAAACAAGAGGCAGUGGUGAAGAGAAGGCAGAGUAACAUACGCUGUUCCCAAACUGCCCUAGAUGAAAUACAACAUUUGGAAUAUUUUUAAGAGAUAGUUCUGCCAGAUUGUGGUGAGAACAGGCACAAGCAUGAAAUUAAUUUCUUUCGCCUUUCAAUGCCUGGAAGUGAUGCUUUGACUCUAUGAAUGAACAAGAUGAUCUUUUGGGUUAGUAAAGGCAGCAAUAAGUGCUAAUUAGCACUGACAAGAAGAGAUCCUUGCAAGACCCCUCUAGAAAGAUACUCCAUGAAGAUUCUGCAUUUACAUUAACAACAUGAUCUCUAUAAUUAC